GUGAGCUUUUUUACCUAUGUUGUAACGUGCCCUCCCCCCUUCUUGACACCUCUUUGUGUCACAUUACAGAACACGCGGAGCUCCCCUUUUGGGGUCUGCAUUCUCUUGAUCAAAACACCCACUAAUAUAACAAAAUACUUACCUAUAUAUCAAUACCUACAACGUAGUAAGUGUAUAAAGUCCCUUAAACUGAUAUUAUAUCACGCAGGGGGCUGCUGUGGACAGUAAUGCACGACCGCAAAGCUCCACCUCGCGCCACGCCUCUUGUUUAUAUUUUCAAUAAGCACAUUUGUUGUUCAUAUGCGUUGAGCUUGAGAGCCUAAGAAAAAGUCUGUGGGUACGCAUAGAUACUACAUCUGCCACAAGAGCUGAAGUGAAGAAGUUAGUUCUUGUAAGAAGAGGCACGUUGACAGGCGUUACAUAAGAGCACCCAUUCUUGCCAAGAAAGGCCCAUUGCACUUUUGGACAUCCGAGGGCGCCAUUGCCUUGCCUAAAAUUUUCUAAAAGUAUUCUGAGCAUUAUCAGUGUUAUUAUUGCUAUCUUGUGUCUCUACUGAAAGGCCUUAACGUUAUACGGAUAUGGGCAUUAUUCUGUAUUGGUUUGGGACGGGAGAUAGGGUUAACAUCAUGUCUGGGAUGAAAUUGUGAAAGGCUGAGAGUGCUUGAGAUUCAAAUUGAACCCAGUGAGUCGAAUCUUUUGAAUCCUUCAGUGAUUCGUUCAGUUUUUCUGCAGGCACUGCAUUCCGCUGAGUUGCAUUAAUAGUCUCAGCCUCAGACGUCACGCGCAUCUGGUACAUAAGGCACACAAAAGUGGAAACACUUCAGGAGUGUCAAAGUCGUCAUCGGAUUGGUUGAAUUCUACAGGAUUUCCGGGAGGCGUGUGUGUGUCGCGUUCUUUAACGUUCUGUCCGGAAACAAAGAUACCGUUGUGCCAAACCCCCCUCACGAAAGAAGAAAGCCGUAGUGUUUACAACUGUGACGACGAGCGCUUAUCGGGGUCAACUAAACACUUGAGUUUCAAAAUGACAGGAACAGUGGAAGAGAAAAAAAAUGAAGAAAGAGGGAGGGCAUGAGAAGAAUGUCAGGUCUAGACAAACAAGCUUAGCUUGAACACACUGCACUGAAGCAGCGACCGAUGCACUGCUGAAGACUCGGUGGCUCUGUGAG
rnacentral:lncRNA from 12 species